rnacentral:lncRNA from 1 species
CGCCAGUCACUAGUGGAAUGUAUCCCUGCCCCUCCUGGCUGCCUUUCUCCACCACCUUCCCCUGAGUUCUAUCCAGGACCUCCCAAGAUGGACAGGGCCAUGGGGUAUGUGAAGCCCCCACCACCGCCCUAUCCUGGGCCCAUGGAACCUCCGGUCAGCCCAGAUGUUCCCUGCACUCCUGCAGCCGAAGCCAGGGCCACAAAAGCAGCUGCCAGCACCUAUUAUAACCCAGGGACUCUCUGGCCACCGCAUCCACUGCAGUCCAGCUCUCUUGGUCUGGCAGCCACUCUACACUCAGCCUCAUGAGCCGCCUCAGACCAGCCAGGCUACUUGAUACUUUUGAAGUAAUUCAAUAUGACUCUUUCAAGAGCAAGAAAAUGUAUCAGAUGGCUUUUUGAGGCCAUUUAGGGAUGGAGGCAAGCCAUGAGUUCAAGAUUCAAGGGAAUAUGAAGAGGCAAACAAAUAACACUUUAUUCCCCGCUGGAUUUACUAAACAGUGCGAGAAAUAAAAUAAAAAGUAUGACAGACAAGAGACCAC